rnacentral:rRNA from 1 species
AGCAUAUCAAUAAGCGGAGGAAAAGAAACCAACAGGGAUUACCUCAGUAACGGCGAGUGAAGCGGUAACAGCUCAAAUUUGAAAUCUGGCCUCACGGUCCGAGUUGUAAUUUGUAGAGGAUGCUUCGAGCAUGGUCUGGCCUAAGUUCCUUGGAACAGGACGUCAUAGAGGGUGAGAAUCCCGUAUGCGGUCAGGUGCCUACGCUCAUGUGAAGCUCCUUCGACGAGUCGAGUUGUUUGGGAAUGCAGCUCAAAAUGGGUGGUAAAUUUCAUCUAAAGCUAAAUAUUGGCCAGAGACCGAUAGCGCACAAGUAGAGUGAUCGAAAGAUGAAAAGCACUUUGGAAAGAGAGUUAAACAGUACGUGAAAUUGUUGAAAGGGAAGCGCUUGCAACCAGACUUGCGCGCGGCCGAUCAUCCGGUGUUCUCACCGGUGCACUCGGCCGUGCUCAGGCCAGCAUCGGUUUUGGCGGCUGGAUAAAGGCCCUAGGAAUGUAGCUCCUCUCGGGGAGUGUUAUAGCCUAGGGUGCAAUGCAGCCUGCUGGGACCGAGGACCGCGCUUCGGCUAGGAUGCUGGCGUAAUGGUUGUAAGCGGCCCGUCUUGAAACACGGACCAAGGAGUCUAACAUCUAUGCGAGUGUUUGGGUGUCAAACCCAUACGCGUAAUGAAAGUGAACGGAGGUGAGAACCCUUAAGGGUGCAUCAUCGACCGAUCCUGAUGUCUUCGGAAGGAUUUGAGUAAGAGCAUAGCUGUUGGGACCCGAAAGAUGGUGAACUAUGCCUGAAUAGGGUGAAGCCAGAGGAAACUCUGGUGGAGGCUCGCAGCGGUUCUGACGUGCAAAUCGAUCGUCAAAUUUGGGUAUAGGGGCGAAAGACUAAUCGAACCAUCUAGUAGCUGGUUCCUGCCGA